CCUGCACAAUAGGGUUUGCACAACUCUUAAAUCCCAUUUAAGCUGUAAAAUUAGAGCUUGAAUGGUAUUUAAGUGCUUCAUAGGCCUUGUUCUCCCCCCUGAAAUCCACCCACAAGAGACUGCAAGUGGCUGUGGAGGGAGAAGGGGGUCCUCCUAAAAGGCAUGCUUCGCACCCUGUGGGGAUGCUGGGAGAGAGCAGUUCUUGGGAAGUCACAAGCAUCAGAGCUUCAUUUUCACAACCUGGCAUGCAGGCCACAGCUGGCUGCUCUAAAGAAAUACCAGCUGAUUUUGCACUAGUGCCUGGGACAAGCAGACAGUCAAGCACCUUUGUUAUUUAAAAUAAAUACAAGGGAUAUGGCAGACAUUUGUCCAUAUAAUGAUAGUGUUCUUCAGCACCCACGGGGUGUUUGAGUAAGGUUGAUUACCUGACAUGCAUCCUGUACGUAGAAGGAGGCAGCCACUUGGGUUUGUGUGUAAAGAUUUUAUUAUCAUCCUGUCACUGCCUUUUACACAAAGCCCAGCUAUCAAUCAACUAUGUUUCUAUAACACACACUGUAGAAAAACACACACUGGCAGUGGGGAAAAAUCAUAGUGGUGGCCACACCCCCUUAAAGAGGAAAGUACAACAAGAUAUUUUCGGGGGUGGAACAUCCUCAUACUCAUCUCUUUGGAAGUUCUACCCUACAGGGGCCUGAAAGGAAGAUUAGAUGUUAUCAAUGAUUUAUAGAAGAGCAACCUAACAAAAACAGUGUGUUUCCUUCACACUUGGCUAGCAUGCUCCGACUCCAAGGAGGAAGAGUCAGAAGAGGAAGAUUGUGACCUGGAUCACUUCAGGGAACAGAGGCUUCCAGGUGUGAGGCAACAGCAUUCCCCACUAGGCAGGAAGGUAUGUUGAUGGAGGCGGAGGACUGUUUUCACCCUUGAUGACCGGCUCAUCAAAAUUAAAAGGCUGUCUGCCACCUAAGGAGUUUCUUUCUCCAGGGUCCUCUCCUCUUAGUAGCCCCAAAUGAACUCAGCAAGAACAGCAGCCAGCUUCCCUCUGAAGACACAGGAUAAAGUGGGGCACUGCCUGCAGUAUGUUCUCCCUCUUCAGGGGAUCUACACUGCUUCCCUCAGGCCAGGUGCCAUGCCUGCCAUUGCUGUUGAGGGGCAGCAUCCUUCAUCAGGGCCUGGAGCUAGACAAGUGCAAUGGAGUGCACAGUGCAAAGAACCCUUUUCCCUGAGCAUCUCAUCUCAGCUGCCUCUCACAGAAGUGGUGACAGUAUGCAGCAUGAAGCAGCAAUAAGCCCAGAGGUGCACUGACAAGCACUUGGAGCAAGAUUAGCCUACCCAGGAAGAGAUGGAGAUGGUGUUCAGCUGACACAGCACCUGGCUUUAAGUCCUGUCUAGGUAGUGUAGGGGAGGAGCCAGAAUGCUCACAAAUGGAACCACAAACGGGAAUGCAACGAGGGGUGGAAAAGCAGAGCAUCCUCAAAUAGCAAACAAAUGUGGAGCGCCCCACAUAACACGAAGCAUGUGACAGGGAUAUACAGGGGUCAGAAUCAUGUUCAGUCUCAAUCCGAGGAAGUUCAACACUCUGUGGAGUUUAGGAACUUGCACAUUAUGGGAAACCCCAGCCAACAAGCACAGCUGAUAUCCACAAGAGAGCCCCAGCCUUUUCCCCCCUGCCACCUGCUGUAUCAGACCAGCAGAAGCAAAUCAAGAAGGUGAUUAUAUUAAAGCCUCUUACCCCAUUUCUACCAACUAUUUCAGGUUCCAUGGAGACAGGAGCAGGAAUGGAUAAACUUUGGCAAUGGCUGCUAAUACUGAGCGCUGCAAAUGUUGGUUUCAAACAGCUCAUACACAGAAGGUUGGGAGUGAACAGUUUCCAUGCAGUUUUAUUUAGAGUGCUUUUAUUUUGGAUAAAAACAGUAGGGAAUCCAUUAAACCACACCUACCUAUUACAGGUGUCUGAUCCAAGGGAGUGUGAAUUGACUAACUAGUCCCAACUGGCACAGUUUUGCCUGCAUAUUGGAACUUUAGGCAAUCAGGUGCCUGCUUUCACAAUGUGCAUUUUAUAUUUAGAUAAUUUGAAAAUACUCAUACCUGAAUGUUGGGUUCUACACAGGGACCUGACACACCAAAUUAUAAAAUUUGGUCCAUAAUGUAAGUGUUCUUAAACCUAUGACUAAUAUAAAUGUUUCCAUAAUGUAAAAAACAUGAAAAUAGUUAUGUUCAAACAAACACUGAAACAGCACCAAGAACCUGAAAGUGAAACUUUCUAUAAACACAAAUGAAACUGGCUUAAUUGAGUUUCAUAUUCCAAGCUGAGAGAAAUGCAAAAUGCAAACAAAGAUCAUACUGUGAAAUAUGAUGGAUUUUUAACAGUCAUUCUUUUAAUUCUCUCAUGUAAGGUGUAAUAUGUACCAUAGGCAUGUCAGCUGUUUACAUAUAACAUAUGAUCUGUAAAUUGACAGUGUCUCUUUAACUUUAUAUGGUGUAACUGCCAAGUUUUGUGCAACUCCAUAUUCACAGAUGAGAGUCACACGUGCAGCAAUCUGUGGUGACCAAUAGGCACUGCAAAGGUUAUCAGUCUGAUGGUCUGUUUAUCCGGGCUUAUGUACUGUGACGGAAUUAACCUUGUAUUCACACCCUACACACUACUGUAAUAAUCUUUGUGAAAAAUAUGCCUUGUAAGGUAUCAUUUAAAAGCUAAUAACUCACUGGUCAAUAUUAUCAUAGUGAAAUAUAUGUAGCAACACUGUAUGUGAGGUUAUAAAAUUCCCCUAUAUGAUGUUAUUAGUACAUGUUCCAAACCUCACUGCCCUUCCCAGGCAGAAGUCCUUCAACAUGUCUGUCCUGAACAAAGGAAUGUGUGUUUGCCUUAAUGUAUAUUUAAGCAGUAAAACAGAGUCAUCAGACAGAAAAGGGGAAAGGAGAAAACAAAAGGAAAUCUGCAUGUGAGCAUACACAGGUGAAAAAACUCAGCAGGAGUCACCCUUCCACGCCAGACAUGCUGUCUCCUUAUUCUCACCUGGAAAUGCUUUUGAAAAGGGGGACUGAAACUAUAAAAGGAGGGACAAACACCCCAAGUUACCUCUUUCUCCCUGCCCAUCUUCCUCUUAGUACCUAAGAAGACAAAAGAAAUAGCACUGGACUUUAGGGAAGGAGGCCUGAUCUGAAAGCUUGGUCAAUAAUGUGUUAGAAGGAAGCAGUAAGGACUUUACUUUGAAUCAAGUAUAGUUCGUUAAGUUAGGCAGUAGAAAGAGUUUUAUCUCUAUUUUCUUGUAACCAUUUUGGACUUUUGUGCCUCAUUACUUGAGCUCACUUAAAACCUAAUUUAUUUUAUUCUUUAAUCAAAAUCAAUCUGGGGUUGUGAAUGGUUUGGGUAACUUCAUUUAAGGUGAUAAGCUGUUGUAUAUGGUUCCCCUAGAGGAACGGACUGUCUAGCAGAGGGCUGGACAGUGCAGAACAUACAUUUUUGUGGGAAAAAACUGGGAGAGGGAGUGUGUUGGGGUCACCCUGUAAAUGGUAACCAAGGCUGCUAGAAGCCAGAGUGUUUCUGGCGUGUGCUGACAGGCUGCUGGGUUCAGAACUGCUGGGCAAAGUUGUGGCUUUACAUAGGCACAUCUGGGUGUGACCUGCAUGCUGGUGGUUGUUUGUGAACAGUCCAGGUUGGGAGCUACAGGAGCAAGGCAUUGCAAGACACCCCAGAUUGCAGGGCAGUGGUGACUCAGCCCCUCACUGGUCUGGAAUGCACCCUGGACUAUCACAGAUGCCAAAAACCCAUUCUCUACAUCUCAAACAAUAAAGAUUCUGGCUUUGGAAAGUUCUGGCAAGUUUUCAUCAGUUUUGGGCAGAUACUGGAAUCUUUUCAAUGUCUGGUUCAGUGGCUUUAGGUCUAUGCAGAUGCAUAAUUUGCCUAAUGGCUUUUUUAUUACCCCCAUGAUGCAUAUAGGUGCUAUGAUACCCCUGCUCUGCAGACUUUCAAGCUCCUAGUGUACUGGAUUACCUAGUGCCACUGGAAAGUUCCUUUGUGGUAAGCCCACACGUUCCAUUGUGGAUGGAAGCUGAGACCUACUCAAAUGUUUGUAAUAAUGUCAGCUUCUACUGCCCACCCUGGUACCCAUCCGACAGGCUUGCCUCGUUGAUGCAUUUAUGAGACUUGAGUGGCAUUGUGCAGAAUCUGCACAAUCUUAGGCCUUGCCUACACUAGAAAGUGUUUUCUGGUGUAGCUAUACGCUACUCUUCUAGUGGAGAUGCAGCCUCUGUUGGCAAAACUUUUCUUUGCCAGUAUAGCUUAUACCAGCUCCCCAAAUUAGAUAAACUAUACUGGUAAAAGGACUUUUUUGCCAGUAUAAGUGUGUCUACACUAGAGCUUUCACAAACAUAGCUCCAUCAGUUAGUGAAGUGACUUUUUUCACACUCCUAACUGAAAUAGUAAUACCAGCAAAACUUUUAAAGUUUAGACCAGGUCUAAGCUUCCUCUCCACUCUGCUCUCUUCUCCUCUCCUCUCAUUUCCUCUUUAAAAAAAAAAAAAAAAAAAAGUGAGCUUCUAUUCCUCCUAGCUGAGAAGAUAAGCUUUCAAAUGUGAAUUAAGUGAUAUUAUCUUCCCAAGUGUAAAAGAUCAUGCCCACCCUGUCCCUUCUGGCCCAGCGUGACUCUGCUGAGGCCUGCCUCAGUUUCCUCUUCAAUGGGGCAGCAAUGGGUUCACUUAAUACCUGACUCCACCAACCAUUUCUCCUCCAAAUGGAACAAUCUGCUAGACCCCAAAAACUGGCUAAUCAUUGAGUCAAAAAGGGGUAACAGUAUGUAACCUUGUAACCAACAGUAUGUAACCUAGUGAUUCCACUGAUUAUGUCAUUGUACAAGUUUGUUCAGGGAUCAGCACGGGGGGCCCUGAUCUUGACUGGGGCCUCCGGGCUCUAUAGCUGUUUAUUUUUUAAAGUACACAUGGGGUUGCAUCCUUUUCCCAGAUGCAGAGGUGGUCCCAUGACCUGGGUCUAAUGUCUGAAUAAGUAAAAACAUCAUGACUAUGUGUAAACAAGAGUUUUAAAUAAAUUUAUAUAACCUAGAUAAACCAGGGUCAUAGCAGGGGCGUUUGUUGCAGCCCCUGCCAGAUUCUCUGAAUCCACGAAUCCUGCUGUCUCAUCAGCAUAACUGACUGUCUCUACCUGAAGAUCAUCAGUGUUGUUCAAAAAGCUCCUCAUCAGGCCUGGCAUUGACAAUAAUAUCAGCAAAUGUUGAAGGGCUCUCAGGUGCCAAACAGGACUUUAUAGCCAAAAUGUGCGCUGACUAUAACUGUCAGGUAUUAUACCUCCAGGAGACACACACUGGGACUAACAACUGGCCUCAGUUCUCAGAAUGAAUUUGGCCAUCAAGAGACCACAUGAGCGUUAUGGCACUGCCAUUUUUGGCAAACCUGAUCUUCUCGCCAACACAACAUCUAUGACCAAUAAUGAUGACACUGAAGUCCUAACUGUGGAGAUCGCUGGUAUUUCCCCUACAGCUACUGCUGUGCAAACAAUUCAAGUUCACUAGCCCACUGUCACAUUCCGAAGUGCAAUCUGGAGCAGUGAAGGGUUGUGUCACCACCUGCCACACAACCUUGGGUGCCUCUCAAUGCUUUGCUUUGUAGCUCCGAACCUAGGCUAGUCAAAAACAGCCUACCAGCAUGCAGUCAGACCCUGAGUGUCUGUAUAUAGCUACAGCCCUGCCCCAGCAGCUCUGACCCCAGCAGCCUGUCAACACACCAAUCACACUCUGACUUUCAGCACCCUUGGUUACUACUUGCAGGGUGACUCCAACACACACCCAGUUUCCAAUUUCCCCUAAAACAUGUGUUCUGCACUGUCCAGUCCUCUUCUGGGCAGUUCAUCUAUUAGAGGUCCGUUGCCUGUGGAAGGAAUCAAUAUUGAACAGUUUGUUAGUUUAACCGGAGUUACCAAACAGUUCAGUUUAAACACAGCAUGUGUUUUUAGAUUAAAAAAUAAACAAGUUGAUUAACAAAAGUAGAGAGGAUCUGAAGUGAAUUCAGGUAUAAGAGAUAAAGUUAGAAAUGGUUCCAAGCAAAUAAAAGUGAAAACAUGCAUCUAAAAGUCUAAAACUUAAGCAAGUUUUGGUUCAAGACUUUGUGUAGGAUGGCCUUUCUCACCACAGUCUUCCAGCAAGAUGGUGACUCACCCUUUCUUUGGUGAGGGUUUCUCCCAGAAGCCCAAAAGUGCUGGUGCCUUUGUUUUCUUAGGUGAAAGAGGGAGAACUUGGGGUUCUCUGCCCCUUUCUUUUAUAAUCCAGUGAAACUUUGAAGUGGAUUCUUCUGUGGGGUUACCUUUCAAAGUAAAGUUUAUUAACACGCUCAAAGAAGUGAUAUGGAGUCUGGUAGUGAAGGAGGCUCCAGGCUCUUUCUUCCUCCCCAGUCUUUUUUGAAAUGCAAAUUUGUUCUGUCUUCUGCCAUCUUCUCCCCCACCUUUCCUGCUUGCCCUGUUUACUACUUAUAUGUAAGUUGAACUGUGACACCGGCAGACCAGGUGCCAGUUCAUGCC